rnacentral:misc_RNA from 1 species
UUAAGUUCAGCGGGUAUUCCUACCUGAUCUGAGGUCAACCAGAAAGAGUUGGGGGUUUUACGGCAGGCCGCACCGCUGUCCGCCUGCGAGGUGAUUUACUACUACGCAGAGGAGCACACGGCGUGGUCGCCACUCUAUUUCGGGGCGCCUCCCAGUGACGGGCGGCCGAUCCCCAACACCGCUCCCAGCAAGAGCCGGGG